AAUAAGUAUAAUUUUAUAUUGUUUGUGUUGAACUUUUGACCGUUCGUCUUAUUUAAAAUUCUUUUAUGGUUUGUACUUUUAUUAUUACUAGAUGAUAAAACAUAAAUAAUACUUUAUGUAUGACUAUUUUUAUUUUUUUUAAAUAAGACGAAUGGAUAAAUGUUAGACACAGAUAUUUAUGGCUGCACUUAUU
rfam:Oryza sativa Japonica Group DNA, chromosome 3, cultivar: Nipponbare, complete sequence.